AGAAUCAACGCUGGCGGCGUGCCUAACACAUGCAAGUCGAACGAGAAAGGGUAGCAAUACCUGAGUACAGUGGCGCACGGGUGAGUAACACGUGACUAACCUACCCUGGAGUGGGGAAUAACUGAGGGAAACCUUAGCUAAUACCGCAUAAUACCUACGGGUCAAAGGAGCAAUUCGCUUCAGGAGGGGUCGCGGCCGAUUAGCUAGUUGGCGGGUAAUGGCCCACCAAGGCAAUGAUCGGUA
rnacentral:rRNA from 1 species